GAUGAACGCUAGCUACAGGCUUAACACAUGCAAGUCGAGGGGAAACGACAUCGAAAGCUUGCUUUUGAUGGGCGUCGACCGGCGCACGGGUGAGUAACGAGUAUCCAACCUGCUCACCACUUGGGGAUAACCUUUCGAAAGUAAGACUAAUACCCAAUGAUAUCUCUAGAAGCCAUCUGAAAGGGAUUAAAGAUUUAUCGGUGCAGGAUGGGGAUGCGCCGGAUGAGCGUGUUGGCGGGGUAACGGCCCACCAAGGAGACGAUCAGUGGGGGUUCUGAGAGGAAGGUCCCCCAAAUUGGAACUGAGACACGGUCAAAACACCUACGGGAGGCAGCAGUGAGGAAUAUUGGUCAAUGGACGAGAGUCUGAACCAGCCAAGUAGCGUGCAGGAUGACGGCCCUAUGGGUUGUAAACUGCUUUUAUAAGGGAAUAAAGUGAGUCUCGUGAGACUUUUUGCAUGUACCUUAUGAAUAAGGACCGGCUAAUUCCGUGCCAGCAGCCGCCGUAA
rnacentral:rRNA from 1 species